rfam:Rattus norvegicus chromosome 1, whole genome shotgun sequence.
GGGAAAUGGGAGAGGGGUCAACACCAGGCCUUGAAACAAGUCUGUGGGGCA